GGGCCUGCGGGCCUGGAAAGUAGGGGAAAGGUCCCGGCGGCGGCGAGGGCGGCGUGGCGGCGCGGCUGUGGCCCGGGAAGCCCCCGGUCCUGGACCGGGUGACUCGAGAGGGGACCGCGUUUAAAGGGGCCGCCGCCCGCCGCCCCGCGAAUUGAAUCAGUGCCCCUGGAGGCUUCAGCCCGGCACUACUGCCUUGUUUUUCGUUUUUCUGCAUCGGCGAUUGGCCCUGCGGGUGCAUCACGGACCAGGAAGAGCUUUGGAAGCUGGCUGGCUCCAGUGACCGCCUGCAUCUGCUGCUUCCUGCAGCGCCCGGAGCCCGUUCCCAGGCCAGAGUCUGUGUCUGACACCCCUCGCCAGGCAGCUUUGGGCCGCAGUUUCCACUCUAAGAUAUUUUCUUGCUGAUUUCCGAGAGGAAGGGAGAGGGAGAGAGAGACGGAGACAUCAGUGAUGAGAGAGAAUCAUGGAUCAGCUGCCUCCUGCACGGCCCCUACUGGGGAUGGAGCCCGCAACCCGGGCCUGUGCCCUGCGUGGGAAUUAAACUGUGACCUCCUGGUUCAUAAGCCCAUGCUCAACCACUGAGCCACACUGGCCGGGCACAGUUUCCACUCUUAAGUGAGGUCAGGAGAAGCCAAAACAGGUCUCCUGCCCUCCAGCCUCGCCGCCUACAAUCUGCCCCUCUCUCACUGCCAGACGACCUCCCGGAAGUAGAGAGGGUAGCCAACCCACCUGCAGGCCCUCAGCUGGAAUGCAGGCAGCUCCGGGCACGGGGCUGGGCCUGCUGCCUGGGCAGGCCUCCGUGACGGCAAUGCGUCCCGCAUCCUUUCCAGCCAGUUCUCCAAGCAGAACCUUCGCCCGUGACGUUCCUUCUGCAAGGACACCCAACCCUGCUUCCAGCUCUGUGGGCCCCGUGCGACUCCACGGGACUCUUUCCCCACUCCCCACAGCGGGGCCGCUCCACAGAGCCAGGGCUUGGGAGUCAGACCGGAUCCAAAUCCCAGGCCUGCAGUGGGGCCAUGCCCAGGCUGACGGGGUCUCACGCCUACAGAGCAGGAGGCGGUGGCGGCCCCCCAGGAGGCUGCUCCCCCAGGAGGCUGGCGCCAGAGCUCUCCCUCCGGUUUGUUUCUGCUCCCUGGACAGCGGCAAUACCUGGCAACUCGGGCUCUCCAGGCGUAAGGCCCUCUUCUCACGUCCAGCCCAUGUUCCGGACAGACAGACACACAGGUCUUCACUCAUGCUGGUCGGUCGUCCGUUCUCCCCCACAUCUACCCAGGUACCACCUUUCCAUGAAGCCUUUCUGCACGCACACACACCAGGCUGUGUGGUUGCUGCUGAGCCCUGGCUUCUGGGCCUGCCUGUCAUCAGGGGGUUAUUGACGUGUUUUAAACUAAGACAGUCAGUCAGAGAUCUCACCGGGCCCUCGCCAGCACCGGGCGCCACAGACUUGUGGUCAGAGCCAGCACGGGCAGGCAGAGUGGACACGGGUAACUGCUGUAUGCAGUAGAUGCCACCCUCUCUCGCGUGUCCUUCCGGGGGGGGGGGGGGGCGAGUGUGUGUGUGUGUGUGUGUGUGUGCGCACGCACGCACAAUCAUACUGUGACACAGGGUAGCCGUCUGUGCACCUUCUGAGCCUCGCUCCCUGACUUAUAUGUAACAGCGUGGCGCCAUUACCCAUCAGAGCACAGAAGUCAGCCUGGUGCUCUCUAACGGUUACAUGAUGUUUCAUUAGGUGGAUGCAUGCGUGGGUUCACCUCGCCCGUUUACCUGGCCGGGGCUUAGGUUGUUUCCAGCUUGCCAGGCCAAAGUGUCGACGCAUCAUUUGUCCACAUGUGAGAGUAACUACAGCGUCACUGCCUAUUGGGAUUGCUGGGUCACCUGCACUUGUAUUUCUUUUAUUUUUUGGUUUUUGGUAAGUUUUAAUUGAAGUUCAGGAUAGCUACAGGAAAGUGCACACUCAGUGAAUGUUCACAGGCAAACCCCUUGCUGCCAGCCCCCAGAUGGAGAAACAGUAUCUGCAGAGUCCGAGCCCCUCCACGACCCCUUCCAGGAUAGCCUCCUCACGGCUCCUCAGGCCGUAGACUCCGCUGGCACGUGCGACACGUGUGCAAAGAGCAAGCAGCACAUGGCGCCCUCUCUGUUGGGGCUGGCAUAGAGUUGCGUUUGGUUGGGAUUUAUUUGUUCUUGUUGCUGAAGGACACACAUAGAACACACAGUGGACCGGCCCGUUCUUCUCUUGAUGGCCAUCAGGAUUGUUUCCAACCUGGGGCUGUUAUGAAUAAAGCGCUGUGAGAACUCUGA